rnacentral:snoRNA from 1 species
GAAAUCAAUGACGACGGUAGGUAUGCAAUGCCCGGCCGCCGCUUGACGAAUUUGCCGGUGAUUAUUAGCCGGAAUCUGAAGAUUGC